rnacentral:lncRNA from 1 species
UUCCAUUUGGCCCUUCUGAAAUUAUGUGAGGCUUUUCCAAAGGCAGUAUCUCCUGUGAACAUCAAUGUGUAGAGAACAGACACCACUGAGAUUCUCAAAGGCAACAUGGAUGAAACUGGAGACCAUUAUCUUACAUGAAGCAGCUUGAAACCGGAAAGUGAAAUACCUCAAGUUCUCAUUCAUAAGAGAGAGUGGGCCAGGCGUGGUGGCUAGCGCCUGUUAUCCCAUCAUUUCGGGAGGCUGAGGCAGGUGGAUGGCCUGAGCUCAAAAGUUCGAGACCAGCCUGGGCAACACGAUGAAACACCAUCUCUUCUAAAAUACAAAAUACUAGCCCAUGUGGUGGCAUGCGUCAGUAAUUCCAGCUACUCGGGAGGCUGAGACGGGAGAAUUGCUUGAACUCGGGAGAGGGAGAUUACAGUGAGCCGAGAUUGCGCCAUUGCACUCUAGCCUGGGCAACAGAGCGACACUCUAUCUAAAAGAGAGAGAGAGAGAGAGAGAGAAGAAUAAUAGACAUUGGAGACUCAGAAGAGUGGGAGGAUGGAAGGGAUGGAUGAGGAGUGAAGAAUAAGAAAUUACUCUUAAUAGAUAAAAUGUAAAUUAUUUUGGUGACGGUUGCACUAAAAGCUCAGACUUUAUCACUAAGCACUAUAUAUUCCUGUAACAAAACUGCACUUGUAUUCCUUAAAUUCAUACAAAAAAAAAAGUAGUCAAAAGACCCGUAUAGGUAUUUCUCAAAAGAGGACGUACAAAUGGCCAACAGAUGAAUUAAUAAUGCUAAAUCUCACUAAUCAUUAGGGACAUGCAAAUUAAAACCAUCAUGAGAAAUUACUUCACACCUGUCCGAAUGGCAACCAUCAAAAAGACAAAAGAUAGCAGCAUGAUUUAU